rnacentral:rRNA from 1 species
GCCCACCAGCUAGCUCAACUAAUUAAAUACAACACCCCCACAUAAAUUAAACCCUAAAAUGACCUAACCCCAAAAACAAAUCAUUUUUCCCCCUAAGUACGGGCGACGGAAAAGAGACCUAUGAAGCGAUAGAAUAAGUACCGCAAGGGAAUGCUGAAAAAGAAGUGAAACAGACCAGUAAAGCCUAAAAAAGCAGAGCCUAAACCUC